rnacentral:rRNA from 1 species
GUGGGGAAUCUUGCGCAAUGGGCGAAAGCCUGACGCAGCCAUGCCGCGUGAAUGAUGAAGGUCUUAGGAUUGUAAAAUUCUUUCACCGGGGACGAUAAUGACGGUACCCGGAGAAGAAGCCCCGGCUAACUUCGUGCCAGCAGCCGCGGUAAUACGAAGGGGGCUAGCGUUGCUCGGAAUUACUGGGCGUAAAGGGCGCGUAGGCGGACAGGUUAGUCAGAGGUGAAAGCACAGGGCUCAACCUUGGAAUUGCCUUUGAUACUGGCUGUCUUGAGUACGGGAGAGGUGAGUGGAACUCCGAGUGUAGAGGUGAAAUUCGUAGAUAUUCGGAAGAACACCAGUGGCGAAGGCGACUCACUGGCCCGUUACUGACGCUGAGGCGCGAAAGCGUGGGGAGCAAACAGGAUUAGAAACCCGGGUAGUCC